UGUUAGCGGCGGACGGGUGAGUAACACGUGGGUAACCUGCCUGUAAGACUGGGAUAACUCCGGGAAACCGGGGCUAAUACCGGAUGGUUGUCUGAACCGCAUGGUUCAGACAUAAAAGGUGGCUUCGGCUACCACUUACAGAUGGACCCGCGGCGCAUUAGCUAGUUGGUGAGGUACGGCUCACCAAGGCGACGAUGCGUAGCCGACCUGAGAGGGUGAUCGGCCACACUGGGACUGAGACACGGGCCCAGACUCCUACGGGAGGCAGCAGUAGGGAAUCUUCCGCAAUGGACGAAAGUCUGACGGAGCAACGCCGCGUGAGUGAUGAAGGUUUUCGGAUCGUAAAGCUCUGUUGUUAGGGAAGAACAAGUGCCGUUCAAAUAGGGCGGCACCUUGACGGUACCUAACCAGAAAGCCACGGCUAACUACGUGCCAGCAGCCGCGGUAAUACGUAGGUGGCAAGCGUUGUCCGGAAUUAUUGGGCGUAAAGGGCUCGCAGGCGGUUUCUUAAGUCUGAUGUGAAAGCCCCCGGCUCAACCGGGGAGGGUCAUUGGAAACUGGGGAACUUGAGUGCAGAAGAGGAGAGUGGAAUUCCACGUGUAGCGGUGAAAUGCGUACAGAUGUGGAGGAACACCAGUGGCGAAGGCGACUCUCUGGUCUGUAACUGACGCUGAGGAGCGAAAGCGUGGGGAGCGAACACGAUUAGAUACCCUGGGAGUCCACGCCGCAUACGAUGAGUGCUAAAUGUUAAGGGGUUUGCGCCCC
rnacentral:rRNA from 1 species